rnacentral:rRNA from 1 species
GACGAACGCUGGCGGCGUGCUUAACACAUGCAAGUCGAACGGAAAGGCCCUGCUUUUGUGGGGUGCUCGAGUGGCGAACGGGUGAGUAACACGUGAGUAACCUGCCCUUGACUUUGGGAUAACUUCAGGAAACUGGGGCUAAUACCGGAUAGGAGCUCCUGCUGCAUGGUGGGGGUUGGAAAGUUUCGGCGGUUGGGGAUGGACUCGCGGCUUAUCAGCUUGUUGGUGGGGUAGUGGCUUACCAAGGCUUUGACGGGUAGCCGGCCUGAGAGGGUGACCGGCCACAUUGGGACUGAGAUACGGCCCAGACUCCUACGGGAGGCAGAAGUGGGGAAUAUUGCACAAUGGGCGGAAGCCUGAUGCAGCAACGACGCGUGCGGGAUGACGGCCUUCGGGUUGUAAACCGCUUUCGCCUGUGACGAAGCGUGAGUGACGGUAAUGGGUAAAGAAGAACCGGCUAACUACGUG